rnacentral:rRNA from 1 species
GUGGGGAAUCUUGCGCAAUGGGCGAAAGCCUGACGCAGCAACGCCGCGUGGGGGAUGAAGGUUUUAGGAUUGUAAACCCCUUUGAUCAGGGAAGAAGCGAAAGUGACGGUACCUGAAGAACAAGCCCCGGCUAACUACGUGCCAGCAGCCGCGGUAAUACGUAGGGGGCAAGCGUUGUCCGGAAUCAUUGGGCGUAAAGAGCGCGUAGGCGGUCGGCAUAGUCCGUUGUGAAAACCCAGGGCUUAACCUUGGGCCUGCAAUGGAUACUGGUCGACUAGAGUUCGGUAGAGGGAAUCGGAAUUCCUAGUGUAGCGGUGAAAUGCGCAGAUAUUAGGAAGAACACCGGUGGCGAAGGCGGAUUCCUGGGCCGAUACUGACGCUGAGGCGCGAAAGCUAGGGGAGCGAACAGGAUUAGAAACCCGGGUAGUCC